GGGGGUGUAGCUCAGUGCUAGAGCACUUGCUUAGCAUGCAGAGGCCCUGGGUUCCAUCCCCAACAGUCACA
rnacentral:tRNA from 1 species